rnacentral:lncRNA from 1 species
AACUGCACAGGAGAAGACAAUUAGAAUCUGUAUGGAAAAAACAUUAAAAAAAAUCACAAGGCCUACCCAAGAAACCAAAGAUUUGGCCAACUAAGUUCUAAAGGAUAUGGAUUUGAACGCACUUAUGCGCGUAAUACUUCAAUUUAGUUAGUUUGAGGUUUGCAGGAUUUAUGGGCAGUUAAGGAAAUGUAAGAAAAAAAAAACCGAAGAUUUGAAGAUUUCGAUAUCUAGCUUGGGUAUUUUGAGGUAUCAAAAUCAAUUGAUUUCUGUUCCUUCAAAAGCUCCAAAGCAAAGAUGGAUUGCAUUUGCAGUUUUAGACUUAAGCUCAUGAAAAGAACCGAGGAAAAAUGGUACAUCAGUCUAAGAGAUACCAACC